AGUUGAAUAGUGAGGUAGUUAGAGAUAGUGGUGUUCGUUCGUUAGGUUCUGAAACGAAACGAAUGGCUUGUACUCUUCUCUCUCCUCUCAACCUCCCAACAUCUUCUUCUUCUUCUUCUUCUUCAUCAAUCAACCACUGUGCCAUCAAGACCAAGACGACCACCACCACCAUCACCGCCACCGCCGCCGCCGCCGCAGCCAAUAGUAGAUGUUGGAGGAGGACGAGUAGGAGAACGGCCACCACCGUCAUUGCCAAAGCUUCUGAAAAAGACGGAGGCGAGGGCGACGAUUCUCCGGCAUUCAACCCUUUCGGCUUCGUCACGAACAAUCCUUCGAGUAAAAGCGCAAUUCAGCUUCCCGAGAGUCCCGCCGAGGACGGCAAUGUCGGCCAAAUGCUCUAUAGGAUAGAAGACAAAGGAAAGGAGUUUGGCUCUACCAUCAAAUCUGGGCAGUUUAGAUGGUUUGUGAGAGAAACAGGAGCACCUGAGAGCCGCCGCGGAACCAUUGUUUUCCUUCAUGGGGCUCCAACACAAUCUUUUAGCUAUCGAGUUGUCAUGUCUCAGAUGGCAGAUUCUGGAUUCCACUGCUUUGCACCUGAUUGGAUAGGGUUUGGUUUCAGUGACAAGCCACAGGCAGGAUACGGUUUUGACUACACCGAAAAGGAGUUCCAUGAUGAAUUUGGAAAAUUACUAGAUGUCCUGGGGGUCAAAUCUCCAUUUUACCUAGUAGUUCAGGGAUUUCUUGUAGGUUCUUAUGGAUUAACUUGGGCCUUGAAAAAUCCUAGCAGAAUAUUGAAGCUAGCAAUUUUAAACAGUCCAAUAACAGAUUCCUCUCCAGUUCCUGGAUUGUUUCAAAAGCUCAGAUUUCCUCUCUUGGGUGAAUUUACUUGCCAGAAUGCAAUAGAGGCUGAGCGCUUUAUUGAAGCAGGUAGCCCUUAUGUCCUGAAGCUGGAAAAGGCUGAUGUGUAUCGGUUACCGUAUUUGUCAAGCAGUGGACCAGGAUUUGCUUUGCUUGAAGCUGCAAAAAGAGCCAACUUCAAAGGAAUCUCAAGCCAAAUAGCAGCUGGUUUUGCAUCUGGAAGGGUGUAGCCUUUUGAAAUAUUAAUGGCUUCAGCUAACCCUACAUUUCUUCUUCUGCUUCUGCUCUUGGUUCCUGAAAAAACGGCUUCUUCUAUUAGCUGGGAUAAGCCAAUAUUAGUUGCCUGGGGAACAGAAGACAAGUAUCUGCCUUCUUCAGUAGCAGAAGAGUUUCAGAAAGGAAACCCUACUAAUGUCAAGCUUAAGCUGAUAGAAGGUGCUGGCCAUAUGCCGCAGGAAGACUGGCCCGAGAAAGUUGUGGAUGCUUUGAGAGCGUUUCUCUUGUAAAUCACUAUUGUCGUACAUAUAAAGUUGUUGAGCAUGUGCAAGCAUUGUUCUUUUAGUUGAAGAGCUGUUUGUGUGAAGGUAAAGAAUGCUAACUUCAUAGAAAUGCAAAGCUUUUCGAUAAAUAUAAUCGUUCUUUUGUGAGUUCCAUUGACAA